GUCCACCAGACAAGAAUCCAAACAAGCUUCGUCCCAUGUCCGACAUCCAUCCCGAGGAUUUGCUCUUACUGGAGGGUGCAGGUGCUGCCAUGCUCAUUGAGAGUCUCGUGGGAUCUUGGUAGUGGGGCCCAAACACGAUCACUUGAAGCACGAUCUCGAUCACGAUUUGUAUCAACCAAGGUCCAUUUAAAAAUGGCUGGCAUGAAACACAAUUGGGAACUAUCCGAGGAUAAUGAUAAGAAUCAUGACGUGGACGUCGCUUCUUGCGUCGCUUAUGAUUGGCCAUGAUGAUUGCUCAAACUCAGGAUCGAGACUGAGUUUGAUCUCAAGACAAUCGCCGAGGACAAAUUGGAUUGGCACAUUCCACACAUUAUGGAGGGAUUAAAUCCAAAUUCAAAAAAGGUCAACGACGUUAUGAGGGGUCGUGGGAAGCUUCAGGAACUCCACCUUAUGAGUGGAAAGGUGAAUCUUCAGAUCCUAUCUCUAUGUGUUUUAGUGACGUCAGAGCCUGCCAUUCAAGAUUCAGGGUUGGCUCAUACCACAAAAAAGAAGCCAAAGUUCAAAACAAGCUCCGUCCCAUUGGCUUCAAAAAUGCAACAAAUAGAUUUAAACAUACGAAUUUACGUAAUUUUUGGUAGUCAAUAAUUGUCAAAGACCAUAAAAGAUGACUUGCAAAAAUAGAAAAAUAAAACUUUCUCACCUUA